rnacentral:rRNA from 1 species
AGAGUUUGAUCCUGGCUCAGGAUGAACGCUAGCGGCAGGCUUAACACAUGCAAGUCGAGGGGCAGCACAGGUAGCAAUACUGGGUGGCGACCGGCAAACGGGUGCGGAACACGUACGCAAUCUACCGUUAUCUGGGGCAUAGCCCGGAGAAAUCCGGAUUAACUCCCCAUAAUAUAACUGAGUGGCAUCACUUGAUUAUU